rnacentral:rRNA from 1 species
GAUGAACGCUAGCGACAGGCCUAACACAUGCAAGUCGAGGGGCAGCACAUGAGUAGCAAUACGAUGGUGGCGACCGGCGCACGGGUGAGUAACACGUAUGCAACCUGCCUUCUACUAUGGGAUAACCCGUUGAAAGACGGACUAAUACCGUAUAAUACAGGGGCUCCGCAUGGAGAUAUUUGUUAAAGAUUUAUUGGUAGAAGAUGGGCAUGCGUAUGAUUAGAUAGUUGGUGAGGUAACGGCUCACCAAGUCAACGAUCAUUAGGGGUUCUGAGAGGAAGGUCCCCAACACUGGUACGGAGACACGGACCAGACUCCUACGGGAGGCAGCAGUGAGGAAUAUUGGUCAAUGGACGAGAGUCUGAAUCAGCCAAGUCGCGUGAAGGAAGACGGUUCUAUGAAUUGUAAACUUCUUUUGUGCAGGAAUAAAGUGGGUUACGUGUAACCUUUUGUAUGUACUGUACGAAUAAGGAUCGGCUAACUCCGUGCCAGCAGCCGCCGUAAUAC